rnacentral:misc_RNA from 1 species
UCCCUCUUUGAAGUUGCAAUAGACAGGGAAAUAUCACACCAUAGAACUCUCUUAUACUAGCUUUUCUUUCUUGAAUAGACAUGGUCGUCUUUCCAUCCUCAUAAGCCUUGUAAAUGAGAAUUCUAAGCAGCCCCAAUGCACCGGCAAGGUGGCAAUCAGUCCAUUGAACAAGAAACAGAAAAAACUGAGCAGCUGGACUG